rnacentral:rRNA from 1 species
UACGUAGGGGGCAAGCGUUGUCCGGACUUACUGGGCGUAAAGCGUGUGCAGGCGGGCCGCUAUGUGCCGUGUGAAAGCUCUCAGCUUAUCUGGGAGAGGUCGCGGUAGACAGGCAGCCUGGAGGCUCGGAGAGGUCAGUGGAAUUCUCGGUGUAGUGGUGAAAUGCGUAGAUAUCGAGAGGAACACCAGUGGCGAAGGCGGUCUCCUGGGGCAUUCUUGACGCUGAGGCGCGAAAGCUGGGGGAGCAAACGGG